rnacentral:rRNA from 1 species
UACGUAGGGGGCAAGCGUUGUCCGGAUUUAUUGGGCGUAAAGAGCGUGUAGGCGGCCUGGUAGGUCAGCUGUGAAAACUCGAGGCUCAACCUCGAGACGCCGGUUGAAACCAUCAGGCUAGAGUCCGGAAGAGGAGAGUGGAAUUCCCGGUGUAGCGGUGAAAUGCGUAGAUAUCUGGAGGAACACCGGUGGCGAAGGCGGCAUCCUGGACCAACACUGACGCUGAGGAGCGAAAGCCAGGGGAGCAAACGGG